rnacentral:rRNA from 1 species
AUACGGAGGAUGCGAGCGUUAUCCGGAUUUAUUGGGUUUAAAGGGUGCGUAGGCUGUGCGUUAAGUCAGGGGUGAAAUGCCGUCGCUCAACGACGGAGCUGCCCUUGAUACUGGCGUGCUGGAGUACGGAUGCCGUUGGAGGAAUGAGUGGUGUAGCGGUGAAAUGCUUAGAUAUCACUCAGAACACCGAUUGCGAAGGCAUCUGACGAAUCCGUCACGGACGCUGAGGCACGAAAGCGUGGGGAUAGAACAGGAUUAGAUACCCUGGUAUUCCACGCCGUAAACGAUGAUGACUAACCGUCGGCGAUAGACAGCCGGUGGCCAAGCGAAAGCGAUAAGUCAUCCACCUGGGGAGUACGUCGGCAACGAUGAAACUCAAAGGAAUUGACGGGG